GAUGAACGCUAGCGGCAGGCCUAAUACAUGCAAGUCAAGGGGAUCAGCAAUGGUCACCGGCGGACGGGUGCGUAACGCGUACAGAACGUACCUUUGGGCGGGGGAUAGCAUUGGGAAACUGGUGGUAAGCCCCCAUGGCAUUGGGAUUCGGCAUCGGAUUUCAAUUAAAGGCAACACCCAAAGAUCGCUGUGCGUCCGAUUAGGUAGUUGGUGGGGUAAAGGCCUACCAAGCCUGCGAUCGGUAACUGGUCUGAGAGGACGACCAGUCACACUGGGACUGAGACACGGCCCAGACUCCUACGGGAGGCAGCAGUGGGGAAUUUUGGACA
rnacentral:rRNA from 1 species